rnacentral:rRNA from 1 species
ACCCGUUGAUCCUGCGGGAGAUUGCUGCUAUUGGAGUUCGACUAAGGCAUGCAAGUCGGGUGAUCUUCGGAUAAACCGGCGAAUCGCUGAGUAACACGUCAGUAACUUGCCCUAUGAUCUGGAAUAGCCUCGGGAAACUGAGGGUAAUGCCGGAUAGAAUCUUGGUCCUGGAAUGGUCUUGAUUUGAACAUAGGAUUGGCUGGCGGCUGAUUAGCUUGAUGGCGGGGUAACGGCCCACCAUGGCGACGAUCAGUAAGGGUCUUGAGAGAGAGAGCCCUCAGAGGGACACUGAGAUACUGGUCCCAGCCCUACGGGGUGCAGCAGCUACGAAACCUUUACAAUGCACGCAAGUGUGAUAAGGGAACUCCAAGUGCCUAUACACAGUAUAGGCUUUUUUUCAAGGGUAAAGUCCUUGAAGAAUAAGUGGUGGGAAAGACUGGUGCCAGCAGCCGCGGUAACCCCAGCGCCACGAGUGGCAAUCGUAAUUAUUGGGUCUAAAGCGUUCGUAGUCGGCUUGAUCAAUCUCUUGUGAAAUCGCAGGGCUUAACCCGGCGGCGUGCAGGAGAUAUUGUCAAGCUAGGGACCGGGAGGAGUGAAGGCUAUUCCUAAGGGAGUGGUAAAAUAUUAUAAUCUUAGGAAGAGCACCUGUGGCGAAGGCGCUUCACUAGAACGGAUCCGACGAUGAGGGACGAAGGCCAGGGGAGCAAACCGGAUUAGAUACCCGAGUAGUCCUGGCAGUAAACGCUGUGAGCUAGGUGUUGUGCAUCCUACGUGGAUGUGCAGUAUCGUAGAGAAGUCGUUAAGCUCACCACCUGGGAAGUACGGUCGCAAGACUGAAACUUAAAGGAAUUGGCGGGGGAGCACUACAAGGGGUGCGGCGUGCGGUUUAAUCUAACUUAACGCAGAAAAUCUCACCAGCAGCGACGGCAGAAUGAUGAUCACUCUGAAGGGGUUAUCGGACGAGCCGAGAGGUAGUGCAUGGCCGUCGUCAGCUCGUGCCGUAAGGUGUCCUGUUAAGUCAGGUAACGAGCGAGACCUGUGCCUGCAAUUGCUAUCAGCAUCUCCGGAUGGACUGAGCACAUUGCAGGGACUGCCCUGGAAACAGGGAGGAAGGUGCAGGCUACGGUAGGUCUGUAUGCUCCGAAUCUGCUGGGCUACACGCGCGCAGCAAUGGUAAGGACAAUGGGAUGCUACUCCGAAAGGAGACGCUAAACCUCUAAACCUUGCCCUAGUUCAGAUCGUGGGUUGGAACUCACCCACGUGACGGUGGAAUCCCUAGUAAUCGGACUUCAACAUAUUCCGGUGAAUAUGUCCCUGCUCCUUGCACACACCGCCCGUCAAACCACUCGAGCAGAGUUGCAGUGAGUCUAAGUUUUCUUGAUUUAGCCGAACUGUAGCUCAGUGAGAUGGGUUAAGUCGUCACAAGGUA